rnacentral:lncRNA from 1 species
UUCAAGAUUUUGGUUUCCCUGGAUUAGCCUGGCUGCCCAGAUUGUAUGUUGUCAUCAGUAACUAUAAUUCAAAUUUUCAUAGUUUCAUUAGUGAGUUAUCGACCUAGCAAGUCAAAACAGAAGACAAUGCUGCAGGCUGGAUGGAAUCUGUACUUUUGCAUGGUUGCUUGGUGUAGACUGGAGUUUUCUGAGCGGCUGUAGUUGGUAGAAGACCACUUUCCUUUUUUAAAGAUGUUGCUAUGUUUAAAGCUUAUUUUCUGACAGGAAGCUAUGCUGAAUCAUCUUACUGCGGAAGCUUGUUUUUUAAUUAGGGGUUGAAUGGAUUAGUUUAUGUCAUGGUUGUUAAGUGGUGAUCUCUUACCAGGAGCACAAUCUAGUUCAGUGGUCUUCUUUACUUGGCUUUCUUGAUUUGUGCAAGAGAUGUGUGUUUUUAGCUCCAUUUUCUGUUCUUUUAUCCUUCCUCGGCCUGAUCAGAUUAUGUUUCUUUUCCAAUUCAUUAGAUGGAAUUUUUCACCUUUCUUUCUUUGUGUUAUUUAGGGUAAAUAUAUAUUUUGGACAGACCGAGGAGAGGACGUUGCUUUCUGGAACGCACACUGUGACGGAUAUAUUUUGUCGUCGCUGUGGGCAGAUUCUUGGCUGGAAAUAUGUAAUUCCUCUCAUCCCCUCUUCUUUUUCCAUACGCACCAACACGUAGAGCCAAAAAAUACAACUAUGGGAACACACACACACACACAAAAAGUUCCUUUUAUUGUCUUUUGGGGGAUAUGAAUCGGUGUAUAUAAGUUAAACUAACACAGUAUAUGUAACAUGCGUAGUUCUAUUAACGACUAAUAUUUGUGUCUCGUUUACACAGGAGAAAUCCCAUGAGGAAAGCCAGAAGUACAAAGAAGGGAAAUUUGUCCUUGAAAGGUUUUAUUUCUCUCUCCCCCUCUUUAUCUUUUUAUAGUAAAAAAAAAAUUCGCAUUACAUUUUAUCGGAAAACAACAAUAUGCUCAUUUUAAGUGUUCCUAAUAUAACAUUUCUAUGUUGAUAAUGUGUGUUGAACAGAGUCAGGAUCAUUGAUGAUGAAGAUGAUUCUGAAUUCUACAUUGAUACUCGUUCAAGCACAAGUGAUGAUGAAGAUACAAUGUAAAUAGUGGGAGCUUAGUGCACCGAUUUGCAGAUACUUGUAUCUUGUAGACUUAGCAAAAGAAUAGUUGUAUCUUGUCUGAAAAUCUCUCUCAAGUUUGUGGAUGUAGAAACUAAGUUGCUGCCGAAGUGUUUUUUAAUCAAUAUAUGCUCGACUUAAGUUAAUGCUUUAGUGGUCUUGCAUGUUUUUUGUGCUUCAUUAUAUUAUUCUGCUCAGCAUGGUUUGUUAUGCUUUCUCUAUUAUUUGUGAUGGUUUAUUUAGGAAUGUAAUUGCUUAUGCUUUAAGAAAAAAAAUCAAAUAUAUAUAUUCAAAUAGGGAUCAAAUCUCACCCAAUCACUCGAUUGAGUUUGGUGUAGCAAGUGUCGUAUCUCAAGAAGGAUGUAAACUAUAUAUACUAGCUUCACGGCAUGUGCGGUGUACGUGUGUAGUGUAUCAUAUCAUAUACUGUAUAUUGUAAAAUAGAAUUAAUAUUACUAAAUUAAAGCUUUUUAGGAAAUAAUUAUAAUUUAAAGAAUAUAGGACAAGUGAUUAUAAAUGAUUAAUACUAUCAUAGAGUUAUUUAUUGUUUAGAUCAAAAUGACAAGAUAUCAUUGAAACUUUUCAAAAUACAUUCAAAGUUUAAAUUUUGGUUUAGUAAAUACUCCCUCCGUCCCAUUUUAUAUGUCAUCACUUUUUAGAAAUAGUUGGUUCAUAAUACUUGUCAUUUCAUAAAAUUAAUGCAUAAAUUACCAUAUUGUUCCUUUUUAACCCUUGUGAGUUAAUUAGCCUUGAAAAUAUACAUUUGACCAACUUAGAAAAGCUAAGUAAAUGAUUCAUGUUCAAUAGUUAAAUUAAUUAAUCAAAAUAAAUUAAUUUAUAUUCAUUGAUUGAAAACAUGAGUUCCAAAAAAAAUUAAAUAAGAGUAGAAGGAUAAAGUUACAUUAUUUCUUAAUGCAAGUGCAAAGUAAAAAUGUAACAUAUAAAAUGAGACUCAAGAAAUACAUAUAUAAGCAUUGACACCUCUUCACACAAGUUAAAUAUGUAUUUUUCCACUUUCAAUACAUUAGUUUAUUUAAUUGUAUUUGAUAUGGACCCCAUAAUUUUCUUUCAAUUUUCAAUUAAACUAUACCCUCUCUCUCCUCUCUGGUUUUAAUUGCAAUUUUAAAGGACAAUCUAUACCCCCACAAUCCACAUGUCAACUUGUUAAUAGAUCCUCACACAAAUUUUAUUGGUGGUAUCUUGCUCAAAAUAAAUUUUUCAACAUGAGACUCUUUAUAAAAGAAUUUAUACAACAUAAAAUAUGAUCUCAAUUUUUUGUGGCGAGCAUAAGACCCUUUAUAAAAGAACAGAGAAGUGUUGAAAAACACUCUAAAUUUGGUGAAAAUUUAGAAUUAAUCUCACUCAUGUUACAAGACUGGAGAGCGUAUUUACAUGUAUUACUAAAGUAAAGAUAUUUUUAAGGUUGUUGAAACAAUAUGAUCGAGUUUAGGGGGUAUUGAGAAGUAAUAAGUACAUACAUAUUACGGUAAAAUACAAGUUAGAGAUAAGCAAGCAGGUGCAGCUUGCUAUGAUAAUGGAUACAAUAUAUCUAUGGGUUUGAGUGUGUUGCCGGAUCCGAAUUCACAAUUAUCGAUUCGUUCAUCUGCGGUUUGCUUUUCGCUAUUCCAAUUUUGUUUACAAAGAAGAAGAAGAAAUGAAUCCGAACACAAUGGGAGAACGGAAGUCUUCAUCUAAGAAAACAUCUUCCAAAAAGAAGAGGCUCAAAGUUUCCUCUAAGGUAUCUUUUUUAGCUCUCCAUUUCGAUGUUUUCCAUUCAUUUACCUAAUAACAUUCGUUUCGCUUUCUCAGUAUUAUGUAUAAUGUUCCUGUAUGCUGUGUUGAUCUCUUUCUAUUUCGUUAUGAAUUUCUGUGUAUAGUUAUGUAUUUUAGGGUUUAUGUAGAAUUUAUUGAACUUUGUUUUGUAUCAAAUAAAAUCACGGUUUUUAUUUUCAAUAAUCUUAAAAGGUUAUUGAAUUAUGAGAAUUCUCCUUUAAUUUGAUUUUUAAGGGCUUUAUGUUUUUUCCUGUUUACUGAAUUAAUUUUUGUCAUGUUAUGGAAUAUUUGUAAAUGUUUUCCUUUUGUAGUGAUGCUAAUAGUUCCCUUUCUACUGGUGGUGGAAAUAUGGAAGAGAAUUAAAAAUAAUGGUUAGUAAUCUGCUAUGUUGCUCGGACUCUCCAAAAAUGUUGUUGAAUCUGUGUUGGAUCUUCCCAUAAUGCACUACUUUUGGGGGAUACGACACACACGACAACAUUUUUAAGGAGUCUGAACAACAUAAGCUAUCUGUACCCUCUGUUGAACCUAAGUCCAAGCAACAUAUGUAAUUAGCUGGUUUAACUUUUGGGUCUUUUCAUGUGUGUAUCAUUAGGGGAUGAUUUUUGGGGGAUAAAAAUUAAGCUAGCUGUUCUUUUAGCUAAAAAUUAAAAUGAAACUGUUUUCCAAGAACAAGGGUCAAAAAGUAGUUCAAAAGGCUGGUUAUUUUGGGUACAAUACUUAUAUGAGUUGACAUAACUGAACUGGGAGAAUAUAAGUCCUACUCCUUCCAGUUUGUUUAGAAGGGAUUAUUUUUCAUGUAAAUAUUCAUAUACAAAUCUGUAAUAUGGUAAGGCUUCAUGUGGUAUAGCUCAUGAUCGCUCGUGGGAGUGUUAAGUCACAUUGCAUAGUCAUUUGAAUUGUUAUAGUUAGAGUUCCAUGAAUCGUUUAUUGUUCUUUGUAUUUUUUUUGUUUUCUGCUCUAUCCGCAAAAUAAACUUAGUGGAGCAAAUCUAGAGUUAUUUAUCCAAAAAAACAAUUAUCUGCACCUGUUAAUACUUGGUAUCUUUUAGAAGCCACCAUGGAAAAAAGGAUAUCUAAGAUCUUGUAUUAAAUACAUUCUCUUUUGUUUCAAUUUGUAAUUCGUUAACUGACACUCAGAAGAAAGAAUUGUGGAAGACUUUAUAAUGCUUGAUCAUGCCAGCACACUUUGUACACUAUUUAUUGCAUUAUAUUUUUAAUUAAUAUUAGGCAUGCUUUCUGUAGAACAAUGUAAGGUUACCUCCUGUUUUCUUAUGAAUUCCAAUUUAUUAUCCUUCAUUAUACAUCUUCAUGUGUUGUGUGGUUAGAUACGGAAGAGAAAAAGCAGAAGAAACAAAUCCAAGAAGUUAUCCAGUUCUGAGGAUGACUCGUCAUCUUCUGCUUCCUCUGAUUAUUCUAGCAGUCCACAGUCUUUGUCCUCCGAUUCAGAGGUUGAUUAUAGUAUGAAAAAACGUAGGCACUCACGUGAUAUAAAACACGUGAAGAAAAGAACUUGGAGAAAAUCUUCAAGCCGAGAUGUCAGUGAGGGUUCACCCCCUGUAAAGAAAAGAAAACGGUCAAAUAGAAAGAGUCUUGAUUAUGGGAGAAAAGUGCAGAAGAAGAAGCGAAAGAGACACACUAGUAUUAGCUCCACGAACAGUGACUCAAGAUGUUGUUCUAGGAAAAUAGUAUUAGCUCCAAAGGUAGAGAUUUUAAGAGCUUUUCCACUUGCCAAGAUACAACUAAUAGUGGUAAAUAGGAAGCGAUAACGAAAUUGAGUUUGAUUAAAAGACAUUUGCAUAUACUACUUAAGGUUCCAAAUAUUUAUAGUUUUAACAAAUUAAUCUUGUCUUAAAAUACCUGACGUCUGAAGAAUUUGUUUUAUUAUAUCUAAAUUUUAAAUUUUCUAAUUUAAUUAGUAAAGUAUUAUUACUGAUUAAAGAGAAAUAAUAAAAAGUAAUAUAAACAAGUAUACUUAUGAUUAAAAAUAUUAUUAUAAAUACUUUUGCAAAGCGAUGUCUAAAUAAAAUAGGCAUAAUAUAUAAAUAUAUCUUUUAAUUUGUCUUCCAUACUAAGACGAAUGUAUCUAUUUGUUUAAUUUAUAUAAGUUUUAGAGUCGAUUUAUACAUAUUUAAAAUUGAAGGGCAUAAAUAUUUGCUUAAGCUAAAUUAAAAACACAUUUAUGUAUUAUAUAUAUAUAUAUAUAUAUAUUAUUAUUAUUAUCAUAUAUUACUAUAAGCAUGAACAAAAAAAGUUGAGAAAAAAUUUAAAAAAGUCUAUACCUAAAUUGCUAAACUUUUCCUCUUCUCAUAAUUUUUUCCUUUGAUAUAAUUUAUGUGGAUAAAGUAUUAUCCUUUAUUAUAAAUAACGAAAUUUAAUAAUUUGAAGGGUGAAAAUCUGCAAAAUGGAGACACACACAUUGAUAAUGUCCUCUUGAUUAUAUUAAAGAAUGACUCUAGCUUCACAAAUUUAAAUUCAUUGAUGCUUAAUUACGUGAUAGGAACUUUAGUUAUUUUUUUUACAUAGUUUGCUAACUUUCUUUUUCCUAUUCUUCAUUUAUUUACUAUUAUUUUCUAAUUACUUAUUCAACUUUUAUACUCUUAAUAUUCAUAACUCUCAUCUUUUCAUAUUCAUAACCUCUAAAUAUUUAAACUAACACUUUAAGAUAUCUUUUGAUAUUCCUUCUAUUCUAUCUAUAUAAAUUCAACUUCUUUAUCUCAUGAAAUCCCUACCAAGUUUAUUAGACUAUUAUUAUUUUUAUUCUAUAGUUAAAGUAGAUGAAGAAAACUCUUGAAUUGUGAUAGGAUAUGGAAGGAAUCGAUAAGAACUCAGAGAGUUAAGUACUAAUUUUGUACUUAUUUUUUCAUCUAUAUAUGUAUCAGUCUUAUAAGAAUAAUGUCUACCUUGUAUUUUUUCUUAAAUCUGUUUCUUUUUGUCUUUUUUUUUUUCUCUAUUAGACUUCUUAAUUUAGUUUUCUAUGAAUGUUUUAUUGUCGUAAGUCUUUAUACUUAUUUUGUAAUUGUUGCAUUUUAUUGUUCAUUACAAUUUACAUAUAUAUAUUUUCAUGAAAUUUUAGUCAUUCUAACGUAUCUAUAAAAAUUCACAUGAAACACACGUGCUCAGCACGUGCUCAGAAACUAGUUAGUUAUAAAAAAGUUAAGACCGUUAAAAAUCUACACCACAACAACAUAAAUAUUUUUUUUUAGAGACAAUCUGAGGUCAAAUGUUCACCACUUUUCGUCAUUGUUACUUUGUUACUCUAACAAAAUUUAUAGAAGGAGACAACUAAAUUUGAAACAACAGCAAAAUAAUAUUGUUGACCCUUUUAGAAAUUCAUUCUUCAUUAAACUGCUGCUCUAAUUUUCUAGCAACCAUACAACUUCAGCUAUUUAAACCGUAUAUUAUUUUCUGUUUUCAAAGCAUUUAGUUAUUUUCCGUAUUAAAUUAAAUAUUUUCUGUUUUCAAAGCAUUUAGUUAGUUUCCCGUAUUAAAUUAAAUAUUUUCACUUUUCUAAUCAUUUAAUAGACUCUUUUGUUUUGGAAUAUGAAUAGUUAUUUUCAUUUUCUAUAUAUGUAUUGUAAAUUAAUUAUCAUUUUUUACUUCUAAUCUUUUUUAUAGUUUUCUCUUGUAUUUGCUUAGCCUUUGUGUUUGCUAAUUACUAAUUUUUAUUUAUUUUUCUUUGUUUCAGAUAUUAUCUUGCAAUUGUGAACUCUUCCCUUCUUCAUCGCAUCAUCAGCUACAUAAUAGAUAUGAUAGUCAUAUCAUUGGAGUUAUGCCUAGUCAUGAAGAAGGUAAACAUACAUUAGACCAUUUCACUAGAAAUCUUUGUAGUUUGUUAAGAUGUGUCUCAUAAGGAAAUAUAGAGAACUUGUAUUGUUUGAGAUCCAUAAAUUAGUAGUAAAUACUAGAAUGAAAUGAGUCCAAAUAGAGUGAAAUAAAUAGUGAGAAUGCAUAUGCCGACUCUAAGAAGCAUGUAAUUGAGGUAUGGUUGUAAUGGGAUUAAAACGAGUAAUAGAAGUAGAUGGAUCGUUGUAGCCGAUAAGUAACUGCUAACAAACUGAUAUACAAACAUUAUGAGUUUUGUCAUCUAUACUAUACUGUUACAUGCUAUAGGGUUUUGACCAAAUGAUAGCAGAAGCUUUCACUAGAAAACAAAGUAAAGCUUAAUGUUGACCAAACAACAUCAUCUGAACUUACGUGCUUGGGUCCAGUAAUCUCGAAUUGGGCUUUGGGCUGUCAUCACAUAUAUACAUAGCAUAUGCAUAAUCAUAAACAAGGAUUGUGCCAUUGUCUUUAGAAAAUUGCACCACUUUAGUCACCCUGAUGCUGUCAAAUCAGUUGGAUUAUUUCAACCAUUUGUAUUAAGUUCUAGCUUGUUUGUGAAUAUGGAUUGAUUAUGUUAUUUCGUAAUACUAUUAUAUUAAACAUUUUAGUUAAUAUUCUCAUAUAAAAUUUACACAUGAAGGAUUCAUAAUCUUGAAUCAAACAAAGAAAGUUGUACAUGCAAUAAUCUAUUACAAAUAAAUAUGAUUUUUUUUCAAGUGUACCCCGUGAAAUUGACAACGAUACAUUAUCCAUCUUAAAGAAGACAUAAGUUAAUCAAUAUUUCUACACUAUGAAAUACAAUUAUUAUUCGGAAACAACGUCUUGAUACGUAUGUGGAUAUAAGGAGGAGACUAUAGUUUGUUAAAAAUAAGACACAAACUUUAAGAUAUGAAACAUUUACAAACAUAAUCAAUGUUACUUAUGUUUUACCUAUAAAUUAUAUGUUAUUGAAAUAUUAAAAAAAUAAGGAAAGUGCCACACUGAGUAUAAGAUAUAUGAGAACUACAUAAGAAAAAUGUUACACCAAUUCAAUUGACUGUUUAUAGCUACAAACAAUUACCCUUUCCUAAAUUUAGUCACUUAUUACUUACAUGUUUUAGCAUCAUCUAUAUCAUUUUUAAAAAUUGUACUAAUUAACAUGGGACACACGUGCAACGCACGUGUCCAGAAACUAGUGCAAUAAAAUAUUGAUAGCUCGUUUUUAUACAUUUAAACAGCACUAAAAGAUAGGAUUAGGUGGCUUUGAAGUUAGCAAAACAAAUCUGCACCACAUGUAAUAAUAAGUCGUUUUCUACUUUGUUGUUUCUGGAAUUUGACACUUCACUUCUGUGGGCUAAAUUCUAAAAUCUUAAGACCCCUCAAUAAACCUUGUCUUUUCAUCUUUUCUUUAAAAAGGGUUUCAGUUUUGGGAAAUUGGGGCUGAGCUGCAGUUUGUGUGAAGUGAAAAAUGGGGAGAGUAUUUUUGGUGGAUCUUGAAGGCAAACCUACAAUUGCAAAUUCUGCAAAACCCAACUUGCCCGUGUUGAUCAACUUAUUUCCAAGGUACGAUUUUUUAUUUUUUAUUUUUAUUUUUUGGUUGAAUGACUAGAUCUAGCUAUGUAAAAUCCUGAUCUUUCAUUUGACAUGGUUAUAUAUCACUUCUCGGUACAAGUAAAAAUCUCACCUUUUUUAUAGGUUGUAAAUAAGUAAUUUUUGUGUUGUUUAGUGCAAAUGUAAUGCUUUUCUUGUUAAUUCAGAAGUUUCAAAUUUUACGAAUUCAUCAAUCCUCAUCAUGAAUUUGAAUUGACCAUUAGGAAAAUGGUUUAUUGAGUUAGGGAUGGAAGAGUGUGCAGAUUUUAUUCGUCUCUAAAAAAAUGUUGUUGAUAAGAUCCAGAAAUGGGUGACUACUUCAUGAGAGAUAGCAGUGACGUGUGAAGACGUUUGGAAGCUCUCAAGCAUGUUGGAUCAUGUCGAUUUUAUGUAUAUUCAUAGAUGUUUGAACAAAAUAGUUCAUAGUUUAGCUAGAUUUUCUAUUUCUUUGUUGAAGGAGAUCUCUUGGGAGAGGUUUUUCCAGAGUUGGAUCAUGCAUGAUGCUAAGGGUACAUUUGAAUUUCGUAGCUGUUGAUGCAAUAAUACAAAGUGUUUAGUUUCGGUGAAAAAGUUCAUGAAUUUGACAAGUUUAAUGUUGGUUGCCAAGCAUAGAUUAACCCUCCUCCUUUGUUUAAGUGUGGGACUUAUUAAACACGUCGUUUUAAAUAAGAACUCAAUUGUAGAUUCUUCUUCAUUGCGUGUGCUAAAAGCAAAGUUGCAUUUGGGAUUUGGAGGUUUGGGGUGCAACAUUGCUUUGAACAUAGACAUCUUGCUAUUUAAACAGGGAAGGCUGUCUUCUCUUUUAGAGGAAAGAAAAGAUUUUGGGGAUAGAAAGAAGGCAACAAAAAUAAUUAAAAAAAUCAAACAAGGUUAAAUUCAACAAUAAAGUCUAAAAGAAUCACUACUAAGAAAAAGGAGGAGAAUAGGUGAAAUGCCUAGCUCCUUAAUUGCCCAGUGAAGCAAACAAAAUAGUUAAAGUACUGUAGAGGGCUGGAAUCGAACUCACGCAACCUAGAAGGAAUUUCCGGAGUUUUGCCAGUGGCGUCAUGUAUUAUUUUAUUCAAUGAGUGGCACGUUAACUAUUUAUUGUAAAUUUUCUUUCUAUAUAUAUAUAUAUAUAUAUAUACUUAUAUGUACCAAGUUUCGGGUGAGGCUUUUUGGUGACGUGGCACCCCCUCGGCAUGGGCGGAUCUACAUGGAUCCAAGGGGGUUCAUCCGAACCCCCUUCGUUGGAAAAAUUACACGGUAUAUAUAGGAUCAAUUUUUUGAUUUAUAUGUAUAUACCAAGUGAUGAACCCCCUAAAUAUAAGCUAAGGUCAUGGCUCAGUGGUGAAGGGGGUUCAAGAAUUCACAAUAUAAGUGUUGGGUCGCGGGUUCGACUCCCUGUAACAACGUUUUUCCCCAUAUUUUUGAGAUUUAUACUAUUUUAUUAGAUAUUAAAAAAUAAAUUUAUUUUCCAUUUUUAUAAAAUUAAGUAAAACUUAUAACGUUGUUUUCAUAAUUAAAAUUAAAAAUACAUUCUCCCAUUCUCAUUUUAAGUCAAACGUUUAAUUUAUAUUUGAUUAAGGAAUAAAAUAAUUAUAAGUAAGAUUAAACAAAUAAGAGUAAUCAUUUAAAAUUUAUAAAUAAAUACAAUUGUCGCGAACGCGAAUUUUAUUGCUACAAUAUGAUUGGAUUUAGAAGUAUUCCUUAGUUCGAACUCACGCAACCUAGAAGGAAUGUCCGGAGUUUUGCCAGUGGCAUCAUGUAUUAUUUUAUUCAAUGAGUGGCACUUUGGCACCCCCUCGGCCCUUAGUAGAUCCUCCCCUGGUUAAAAGCAACUCCUUUUUUCACUCGUAAGUAAAAUAUAUGCAUAAGAAUUGUCUAGCACCAAUAGGUGAUGUAAGUUGGAAUUCUCGAAGCAAGUAAAUUAAUUGGAACUCAAGAAGUUUCUUUUAUCUCAUUGUGUAUGAACUGUCAGUUUACUUUCUUUGUCGUGGUAUAUUGCAUGAGAAAAUUGUGUUUCGUCUUUGCUGCAUAAAUUGCAUUUCAUUUUGCAAUGGUUAACUAUGUCUGACAAAAUCUCCUUUAUGCUAUUUAUUCAGGCUUUUCAUUGCAGCAGUGGAAGAGCAUACCUGUUCAAUAAAGUGUGAGUGGCCUCUAACGUCAUAUUGAUAGUAUACAUUGCUAUUUCAUGAAUCUGGAUUUUUGUUUUACAAGUGAUUUAAUUUGUUGAUAAACCUGCAUCCAUUCGUGAGUGACAACUGGUGCUUUCUUUUUGGGGGUUGUACGAUACUGUAUCUGUUGUCGGGAGAAAGUGCUGUUUAAUAUGUUUGGCACAUCAUUCGGAUGCAGUUGAUAGGUGUUUCUCCUAAUUGGUUAAGUGUUACAUCACCAUUAACAACCCGUUGCGUCUAUUUUCAGUGAGUUAUAGGCAAUACGGUCAUUUUUAUUCAACAGAAUGCCAUUUGUGACCAAGUAUUUGUGGAAUGAAUGAUAUUGCCUGUCCGGACAUUUUUUUUUUGAAAUGGUAGAGGUUUUAUUAAUAAUAGUACCAAGAUGGUACAAAAAGUACAAGCCACCAAAAAGACAAGUAGCAACCCUUCUUUGUUCUUAUUAUUAUUCCUUUAAAUUUCGGGGGGUGGGGGGUUAUAGAUAUAAAUGGCUAUUGCAAAGAAAUGCACUUGAGGGCAGAGGCAUGUAGAAACUUCUCACAUUUGAUUCAAAAUACUUUGUCAUGCUUUCUAUAGUAUUUUGCCAUGAUUUCUUUUCUUCCGUUAUUUCUUUUUCAAUCUUCUUUGAUAUGUUUAUCCUUGAGCCGAGGGUCUAUAGGAAACAACCUCUCUACCUCCAAAGGUAGGCGUAUGGUUUGGGCACACUCUACCCUCCCCAGACCCCGCCUAUAGGAUUACAUUGGGUAAGUAGUUGUUAAUUGCAAGUUCCAAUGGCUCGCUCAACAUCAGCAUCAGCUAGAUAUUAUGUGCAUUUGAGCAUAACUGUUUGACUUAGGCCACAUUUGGAUAUAUAGGGUUUGCUCAAUUGUCCGAGGUACUUGUAUGUACAUACAUACGUAUGUAUGCUUGAAUUCUUCUUGCCCAUCUACUUUCAAGAUUUUGGUUUCCCUGGAUUAGCCUGGCUGCCCAGAUUGUAUGCUGUCAUCAGCAACUAUAAUUCAAAUUUUCAUAGUUUCAUUAAUGAGUUAUCGACCUAGCAAGUCAAAACAGAAGACAAUGCUGCAUGCUGGAUGGAAUCUGUACUUUUGCAUGGUUGCUUGGUGUAGACUGGAGUUUUCUGAGCGGCUGUAGUUGGUAGAAGACCACUUUCCUUUUUUAAAGAUGUUGCUAUGUUUAAAGCUUAUUUUCUGACAGGAAGCUAUGCUGAAUCAUCUUACUGCGGAAGCUUGUUUUUUAAUUAGGGGUUGAAUGGAUUAGUUUAUGUCAUGGUUGGUAAGUGGUGAUCUCUUAGCAGGAGCACAAUCUAGUUCAGUGGUCUUCUUUUCUUGGCUU